rnacentral:rRNA from 1 species
UACGACUACAUAUCAGGCAUAUCAAUAAGCGGAGGAAAAGAAACUAACUAGGAUUCCCUCAGUAACGGCGAGUGAAGCGGGAAGAGCUCAAAUUUGAAAUCUUCAAGGUUUUACCUUGACGAAUUGUAGUUUAAAGAAGUGUUUUCUGUUGAAGUUCUGGUAAAAGUUCUUUGGAAUAGGACAUCAUAGAGGGUGAGAAUCCCGUAUUUGACCAUUAUUUUCAGCUGUGUGAUACACUUUCAAAGAGUCGGAUUGUUUGGGAAUGCAGUCCAAAAUGGGUGGUAAAUUUCAUCUAAAGCUAAAUAUUGGCGAGAGACCGAUAGCGAACAAGUACCGUGAGGGAAAGAUGAAAAGAACUUUGAAAAGAGAGUUAAACAGUACGUGAAAUUGUCAAAAGGGAAGCGUUUGACACCAGUGUUGUUUUCUCGAAAAUCAAUUAAAAAAGGCAGGAUUUUGUGUUGUAUUGACUUUAUCAGCUUUCUGCACUCUUUUCUUGUCUUUUUUAAUGCACUUUUCGUUUAACAAGUCAACAUCAGUUUCUUUUGUUGUAAAAGGGUCAUUGGAAGGUGGCUUUCUCUUCGGAGAAAGUGUUUAUAGCCUUUGCUCUCUGCAAUCGGAGAGAUUGAGGUCUGCAGCGUAGAUCCUUCGGGGUUAGAUACAUUUGUGCUAAGUUAUAGCCUUUCAUAGACAACUUGUUGACUAUGAUCAGUCAUGUAGCUUACUCGCUUAUGCUAUUUUACCUACGCUUAGGAUGUUGAGCGCAUGUCUCUCUCU